rnacentral:rRNA from 1 species
UUAGGUGAUUAUUGCGGCGGGGUUCCACCUCUUCCCAUUCCGAACAGAGAAGUUAAGCCCGCCAGCGCCGAUGGUACUGCAGAAAUGUGGGAGAGUAGGUCGUCGCCUUUC